GAUGUGCAAAGACCAUCGCCCGUCCCUACCUUACCUACAGACUAAUCAACCUGUCAGGUUGGUGCUGAUUUGGGACUAUGAUUAAAACUAGAGGCUGAUGUUGUUCAGGCUCAUGGAGCUCAUGGAGCUCGACCUCUCCUCCGUGGCCUCCGUCUGCAAGUUCGCCGAUGACUUUCUCAUGUAUGGUACUCACACGAGUUCAAGUAGUGAUGUUGCAACAAGUACAGCUCCUCCCCUGUCAAGCUUAGUGAGCCAAAAAAGAGCAUAUUGAUGGAUGAUUGCUAGCUCGCUUCAUCAUCGGCAGAUUUUCCCGUCUACUAACUUGUGGGUACUGCCGGAGAUAAGUAGUAGGCGGCAAAGUGUUUUGAAGUAGCACCAAGACGGGGCAUAAAGAUGG